rnacentral:lncRNA from 1 species
GAUAUCUGUUGCAUAGAUGAGAUUUUGCAUUUUGCACAAGUUUACUUUUUGGAGUUUCAUGAUACGUAAAUGGGAGCGUUUUUCUCCCAGCGUUAUAAAGACUGUGAUUUUGGAUGAGAAGUAGAAGCAUAAUGAUAAUACAACUUAACCAUGAUGACUGUUUUUUCCUGUUCUCUUUGCUCAACAAUUUUAAUUUGUUUUUGAAUAUCCUGUGAAUAUCGAGGAAGAAGUGCACAAGAAGAUGAAAUAUUUGUGCAGUGUAUAAUCUACAUUUGAUUGGAUUUAACAGACAUAAUAGUAUUGGAUUUGUGAUAAUGUUUGGACUAUGUGUGUGUGAAAAUUUAAUUCUAGAAUUUCUCUGAUCUAGUGUGAAUGCCUUGGCAUAAGGAACUGCUGAUGUAUCAUAACUCGUUUUUUGCAUAAUUUUUUUUUUGCGGAUAUUGUUUACAAAACAUUUGAUAGUUGCGAUCCAGCUUUUAUUAUGACGUUUACAUGUAGUUGGCGGAUAUAUGGAAAUUUGUUUGUCGUAAAAUGAAUUGUUAAUUUUAAAAAAAUGAG